rnacentral:rRNA from 1 species
UACGGGGGGGGCAAGCGUUGUUCGGAAUUACUGGGCGUAAAGGGCUCGUAGGUGGCCAACUAAGUCAGACGUGAAAUCCCCAGGCUCAACCUGGGAACUGCGUCUGAUACUGGAUGGCUUGAAUUCGGGAGAGGGAUGCAGAAUUCCAGGUGUAGCGGUGAAAUGCGUAGAUAUCUGGAGGAACACCGGUGGCGAAGGCGGCAUCCUGGACCAACACUGACACUGAUGAGCGAAAGCCAGGGGAGCAAACGGG